GUCUCAAUCCCUUUGAAACAGGGCAGUGUCUUUCGAC
rfam:Haemophilus parahaemolyticus HK385 contig00005, whole genome shotgun sequence.